GCUUUAAAAGCUUUUAAAGCAUCGGUCUUGUAAGUCGAAAAACGAGGUAAUUUCGUUAAAGCU
rnacentral:tRNA from 1 species